rnacentral:tRNA from 1 species
AUUUAAGUAGUUUAAUAUUAUAAAAUAUAGAAUUGUGAUUUCUGUGAAACUAUUUGUCUUAAGUU